CUACGGGCGGCUGCAGUGGGGAAUAUUGCACAAUGGGCGCAAGCCUGAUGCAGCCAUGCCGCGUGUAUGAAGAAGGCCUUCGGGUUGUAAAGUACUUUCAGCGGGGAGGAAGGGAGUAAAGUUAAUACCUUUGCUCAUUGACGUUACCCGCAGAAGAAGCACCGGCAACUCCGUGCCAGCAGCCGCGGUAAUACGGAGGGUGCAAGCGUUAAUCGGAAUUACUGGGCGUAAAGCGCACGCAGGCGGUUUGUUAAGUCAGAUGUGAAAUCCCCGGGCUCAACCUGGGAACUGCAUCUGAGACUGGCAAGCUUGAGUCUCGUAGAGGGGGGUAGAAUUCCAGGUGUAGCGGUGAAAUGCGUAGAGAUCUGGAGGAAUACCGGUGGCGAAGGCGGCCCCCUGGACGAAGACUGACGCUCAGGUGCGAAAGCGUGGGGAGCAAACAGGAUUAGAUACCCGAGUAGUC
rnacentral:rRNA from 1 species